UACGGAGGAGGCAAGCGUUAUCCGGAAUUAUUGGGCGUAAAGCGUCCGCAGGUGGCACCUCAAGUCUGCUGUCAAAGACCGGGGCUUAACCCCAGAAAGGCAGUGGAAACUGAAGCGCUAGAGUGCAGUAGGGGUAGAGGGAAUUCCCGGUGUAGCGGUGAAAUGCGUAGAGAUCAGGAAGAACACCGGUGGCGAAAGCGCUCUGCUGGACCUUAACUGACACUGAGGGACGAAAGCUAGGGGAGCGAAUGGG
rnacentral:rRNA from 1 species